AGCAGUCGCCACGGUAAUACGGAGGGUGCAAGCGUUAAUCGGAAUUACUGGGCGUAAAGCGCACGCAGGCGGUCUGACAAGUCAGAUGUGAAAUCCCCGGGCUUAACCUGGGAACUGCAUUUGAAACUGUCAGGCUGGAGUCUUGUAGAGGGGGGUAGAAUUCCAGGUGUAGCGGUGAAAUGCGUAGAGAUCUGGAGGAAUACCGGUGGCGAAGGCGGCCCCCUGGACAAAGACUGACGCUCAGGUGCGAAAGCGUGGGGAGCAAACAGGAUUAGAUACCCCAGUAGUCCCUGUCUCUUAUAC
rnacentral:rRNA from 1 species